rnacentral:rRNA from 1 species
GGGCUUGACAUCCCACGAACCUGCCUGAAAGGGCGGGGUGCCCGCAAGGGAGCGCGGGGACAGGUGGUGCAUGGCUGUCGUCAGCUCGUGUCGUGAGAUGUUGGGUUAAGUCCCGCGACGAGCGCAACCCUCACCCCUAGUUGCCACCGGGUCAUGCCGAGCACUCAAGGGGAACUGCCAGCGUCAAGCUGGAGGAAGGCGGGGAUGACGUCAAGUCAUCAUGCCCCUUACGCCCUGGGCUACACACGUGCUACAAUGGCCGGUACAAAGGGAUGCGAGACCGCGAGGUGGAGCUAAUCCCAAAAAGCUGGUCUAAGUUCAGAUUGCAGUCUGCAACUCGACUGCAUGAAGGAGGAAUCGCUAGUAAUCGCGCAUCAGCCCGGCGCGGUGAAUACGUUCCCGGGCCUUGAACACACCGCCCGUCACACCACGAAAGCUGUCUGUACUCGAAGUCGCUGAG